GAUGAACGCUAGCUACAGGCUUAACACAUGCAAGUCGAGGGGAAACGACAUCGAAAGCUUGCUUUUGAUGGGCGUCGACCGGCGCACGGGUGAGUAACGCGUAUCCAACCUGCCCACCACUUGGGGAUAACCUUGCGAAAGUAAGACUAAUACCCCAUGAUAUCUCUAGAAGACAUCUGAAAGAGAUUAAAGAUUUAUCGGUGAUGGAUGGGGAUGCGUCUGAUGAGCUUGUUGGCGGGGUAACGGCCCACCAAGGCUACGAUCAGUAGGGGUUCUGAGAGGAAGGUCCCCCACAUUGGAACUGAGACACGGUCCAAACUCCUACGGGAGGCAGCAGUGAGGAAUAUUGGUCAAUGGGCGAGAGCCUGAACCAGCCAAGUAGCGUGCAGGAUGACGGCCCUAUGGGUUGUAAACUGCUUUUAUAAGGGAAUAAAGUGAGCCUCGUGAGGCUUUUUGCAUGUACCUUAUGAAUAAGGACCGGCUAAUUCCGUGCCAGCCGCCGCCGUAA
rnacentral:rRNA from 1 species